UACGUAGGGAGCAAGCGUUAUCCGGAAUUAUUGGGCGUAAAGAGCUCGUAGGCGGUUUGUCGCGUCUGCUGUGAAAACUGGGGCUCAACCCCCAGCCUGCAGUGGGUACGGGCAGACUAGAGUGCGGUAGGGAGAUUGGAAUUCCUGGUGUAGCGGUGGAAUGCGCAGAUAUCAGGAGGAACACCGGAUGGCGAAGGCAGAGUC
rnacentral:rRNA from 1 species